rnacentral:rRNA from 1 species
GACGAACGCUUGCGGCGUGCUUAACACAUGCAAGUCGAACGAAGUGGCGAACGGGUGAGUAACGCGUAAUCAACCUGCCCUUCAGAGGGGGACAACAGUUGGAAACGACUGCUAAUACCGCAUACUGAAGGCGGGGCUUGCGUCGGAUGAGCUAGUUGGAGGGGUAACGCCCCACCAAGGCGAUGAUCAGUAGCCGUGCUGAGAGGAUGAACGGCCACAUUGGGACUGAGACACGGCCCAGACUCCUAAGGGAGGUAGCAGUGGGGAAUCUUCCGCAAGGGACGAAAGUCUGAAGGAGCCACGCCGCGUGAGGGAUGACGGCCUUCGGGUUGUAAAGCUCUGUUAAUCGGGACGCGGUACCGGAAUAGAAAGCCACGGCUAACUACGGGCCAGCAGCCGCGGUAAUUC